GUGCCAGCAGCCGCGGUAAUACCGGCAGCACGAGUGAUGGCCGAUAUUAUUGGGCCUAAAGCGUCCGUAGCCGGCCGUGCAAGUCCGUUGGGAAAUCCACGCGCCCAACGCGUGGGCGUCCAGCGGAAACUGUUCGGCUUGGGGCCGGAAGACUCGAGGGGUACGUCCGGGGUAGGAGUGAAAUCCCGUAAUCCUGGACGGACCACCGGUGGCGAAAGCGCCUCGAGAAGACGGACCCGACGGUCAGGGACGAAAGCUAGGGUCUCGAACCGGAUUAGAUACCCUGGUAGUCC
rnacentral:rRNA from 1 species